CAUAGCCUACGGGGCGCAGCAGUGAGGAAUAUUGGUCAAUGGGCGGGAGCCUGAACCAGCCAAGCCGCGUGAGGGAAGAAGGUACAGCGUAUCGUAAACCUCUUUUGUCAGGGAACAAAGGCGGGGACUAGUCCCCGGAUGAGGGUACCUGAAGAAAAAGCAUCGGCUAACUCCGUGCCAGCAGCCGCGGUAAUACGGAGGAUGCGCGCGUUAUCCGGAUUUAUUGGGUUUAAAGGGUGCGCAGGCGGCCUGUUAAGUCAGCGGGAAAAUCCCGGGGCUCAACCC
rnacentral:rRNA from 1 species